GGGCAAGAGUAGGUGAGGGGGAGAGGGUCCGUAAGGGGAGAGAUCAAGACAGGGUGAGGGCUUGCGGAGGCAGUGGCGACAACAGCAGCUGGAGUGCCGGUGCCAACGGGGGUGCGGCUCGACCCUCCAGGGCGCCUAGACGGCAGCACACGAAGCAGAAGGAGCGGGUGCUCGAGUUCGGGCCUCGGUGGCGUAGCCGGCCUAGCUGUGGUAGAAGAAGGAGCCAGUAGCGGCAACAAGAAGCAGCUAGGCAGCGGAGACGUCGAGGAUUCUGUGGUUGCCCGGAAGCACACGGAGACACUGAUGCUCUGACUACAGCGACGACCACGGGGCUAGCUGAUACGACAGCUGCUGCUGGGGAGGAACGGUCUCGUUGGUCUACUGCCUCGGGUCCUCGGUCUGCUGCGGUGGCUACUGAUGAUGAUGGGCCUCCUACGGAUGAUGAUGUACUUCUGGCGGCUGCUGAUCCUCAUCAAUCCUCCGAGGGUCCGUCCUCCGGAGCGGAAAAAGCUAGCAACAACGAAAACACGAUCGGAAGAAUUCCGUUAGAACAAAUUGAGUACAGACAUGAGUCUAUAACAACGAAGGCG
rnacentral:rRNA from 1 species